rnacentral:rRNA from 1 species
CCUACGGGAGGCAGCAGUGAGGAAUAUUGGUCAAUGGACGAGAGUCUGAACCAGCCAAGUAGCGUGAAGGAUGACUGCCCUAUGGGUUGUAAACUUCUUUUAUAAAGGAAUAAAACGAGGCACGUGUGCCUUUUUGCAUGUACUUUAUGAUUAAGGAUCGGCUAACUCCGUGCCCGCAGCCGCGGUAAUACGGAGGAUCCGAGCGUUAUCCGGAUUUAUUGGGUUUAAAGGGAGCGUAGAUGGGUUGUUAAGUCAGUUGUGAAAGUUUGUGGCUCAACCGUAAAAUUGCAAUUGAUACUGGCAGUCUUGAGUACAGUUGAGGUAGGCGGAAUUCGUGGUGUAGCGGUGAAAUGCUUAGAUAUCACGAAGAACCCCGAUUGCGAAGGCAGCUUACUAAACUGUGACUGACAUUGAUGCUCGAAAGUGUGGGUAUCAAACAGGAUUAGAUACCCGUGUAGUC